GGUGAACGCUGGCGGUAGGCCUAACACAUGCAAGUCGAACGGCAGCACAGUAAGAGCUUGCUCUUACGGGUGGCGAGUGGCGGACGGGUGAGGAAUACAUCGGAAUCUACUUUUUCGUGGGGGAUAACGUAGGGAAACUUACGCUAAUACCGCAUAUGACCUACGGGUGAAAGCAGGGGAUCUUCGGACCUUGCGCGAUUGAAUGAGCCGAUGUCGGAUUAGCUAGUUGGCGGGGUAAAGGCCCACCAAGGCGACGAUCCGUAGCUGGUCUGAGAGGAUGAUCAGCCACACUGGAACUGAGACACGGUCCAGACUCCUACGAGAGGCAGCAGUGGGGAAUAUUGGACAAUGGGCGAAAGCCUGAUCCAGCCAUACCGCGUGGGUGAAGAAGGCCUUCGGGUUGUAAAGCCCUUUUGUUGGGAAAGAAAAGCAGCAGGUUAAUACCCCGCUGUUCUGACGGUACCCAAAGAAUAAGCACCGGCUAACUUCGUG
rnacentral:rRNA from 1 species